CGUGGUAGGAGAGCGUUCUAAGGGCGUUGAAGUCAGACCGGAAGGACUGGUGGAGCGCUUAGAAGUGAGAAUGCCGGUAUGAGUAGCGAAAGAUGGGUGAGAAUCCCAUCCACCGUAUGACUAAGGUUUCCUGAGGAAGGCUCGUCCGCUCAGGGUUAGUGGGACCUAAGUCGAGGCCGAUAGGCGUAGACGAUGGACAACAGGUUGAUAUUCCUGUACCACCUCCCCGCCGUUUGAGUAAUGGGGGGACGCAGUAGGAUAGGGUAAGCGCGCCGUUGGUUGUGCGCGUCCAAGCAGUAAGGCGUGGAAGUAGGCAAAUCCGCUUCCUGUAACGUUGAGCUGUGAUGGCGAGUGGUUUACCACGAAGUUCCUGAUUUCACACUGCCAAGAAAAGCCUCUAGCGAGGCGGGAGGUGCCCGUACCGCAAACCGACACAGGUAGUCGAGGAGAGAAUCCUAAGGUGUGCGAGAGAACUCUCGUUAAGGAACUCGGCAAAAUGACCCCGUAACUUCGGGAGAAGGGGUGCUCUCGCAAGAGAGCCGCAGUGAAUAGGCCCAGGCGACUGUUUAGCAAAAACACAGGUCUCUGCAAAACCGUAAGGUGACGUAUAGGGGCUGACGCCUGCCCGGUGCUGGAAGGUUAAGAGGAGGGGUUAGCGCAAGCGAAGCUCUGAAUUGAAGCCCCAGUAAACGGCGGCCGUAACUAUAACGGUCCUAAGGUAGCGAAAUUCCUUGUCGGGUAAGUUCCGACCCGCACGAAAGGCGUAACGAUCUGGGCACUGUCUCAACGAGAGACUCGGUGAAAUUAUAGUACCUGUGAAGAUGCAGGUUACCCGCGACAGGACGGAAAGACCCCGUGGAGCUUUACUGUAGCCUGAUAUUGAAUUUUGGCACAACUUGUACAGGAUAGGUAGGAGCCAGAGAACUCGGAGCGCCAGCUUCGAGGGAGGCGUCGGUGGGAUACUACCCUGGUUGUGUUGAAAUUCUAACCCAUACCCCUGAUCGGGGUAGGAGACAGUGUCAGGUGGACAGUUUGACUGGGGCGGUCGCCUCCUAAAAGGUAACGGAGGCGCCCAAAGGUUCCCUCAGAAUGGUUGGAAAUCAUUCGUAGAGUGUAAAGGCACAAGGGAGCUUGACUGCGAGACCUACAAGUCGAGCAGGGUCGAAAGACGGGCUUAGUGAUCCGGUGGUUCCGCAUGGAAGGGCCAUCGCUCAACGGAUAAAAGCUACCCCGGGGAUAACAGGCUUAUCUCCCCCAAGAGUCCACAUCGACGGGGAGGUUUGGCACCUCGAUGUCGGCUCAUCGCAUCCUGGGGCUGUAGUCGGUCCCAAGGGUUGGGCUGUUCGCCCAUUAAAGCGGUACGCGAGCUGGGUUCAGAACGUCGUGAGACAGUUCGGUCCCUAUCCGUCGUGGGCGUAGGAAAUUUGAGAGGAGCUGUCCUUAGUACGAGAGGACCGGGAUGGACACACCGCUGGUGUACCAGUUGUCUUGCCAAAGGCAUCGCUGGGUAGCUAUGUGUGGACGGGAUAAGUGCUGAAAGCAUCUAAGCAUGAAGCCCCCCUCAAGAUGAGAUUUCCCAUUACGCAAGUAAGUAAGAUCCCUCAAAGACGAUGAGGUAGAUAGGUUCGAGGUGGAAGUGUGGUGACACAUGGAGCUGACGAAUACUAAUCGAUCGAGGACUUAACCAAA
rnacentral:rRNA from 1 species